rnacentral:tmRNA from 1 species
GAAAAAACGGCGUUGAUUAUGUAUAUUAUCAAUGUUGAUUUAUCAACUGUGAUGCCAGAGGCCCUGCGCAAUAGAAAUUUUGGACCCGGGGGCAGUACCCGGCACCUCCACCAAUUUUUUAUGGGGGUGAAACAGGUUAGACAGGAUUUAGUAAAGGCAGAAGCUGCAUUCGGUGAGAUACCACCGUUAUCGGUUCAAAUUUAAAUAAAUGCUAACGACAAUGAAUUAGCACCUGUUGCUUUGGCUGCUUAAUUAGCAGUUGCAACAAAUCUGAAUUCCUGCUCUCUUGGUUGACAGCAGGUGGGGAACGAGCCACCUAGCAACAGAACGGCUC